rnacentral:tRNA from 1 species
GGGCGAUUGGCGCAGUGGUAGCGCGCUUCCUUGACACGGAAGAGGUCGCAAGUUCAAUUCUUGCAUCGCCCACCA